rnacentral:rRNA from 1 species
UAGGGAAUCUUCCACAAUGGACGCAAGUCUGAUGGAGCAACGCCGCGUGAGUGAAGAAGGUUUUCGGAUCGUAAAGCUCUGUUGUUGGUGAAGAAGGAUAGAGGCAGUAACUGGUCUUUAUUUGACGGUAAUCAACCAGAAAGUCACGGCUAACUACGUGCCAGCAGCCGCGAUAAUACGUAGGUGGCAAGCGUUGUCCGGAUUUAUUGGGCGUAAAGCGAGCGCAGGCGGAAUGAUAAGUCUGAUGUGAAAGCCCACGGCUCAACCGUGGAACUGCAUCGGAAACUGUCAUUCUUGAGUGCAGAAGAGGAGAGUGGAAUUCCAUGUGUAGCGGUGGAACGCGUAGAUAUAUGGAAGAACACCAGUGGCGAAGGCGGCUCUCUGGUCUGCAACUGACGCUGAGGCUCGAAAGCAUGGGUAGCGAACAGG